rnacentral:lncRNA from 1 species
AUCCUUCGGAGACAGUUCAAUUGAAAUGGUGCUCGUGGAUGACAAGGUUCGACAUACAUUUUUUUCCGUCGAUAAUCAUGUUAUGUCUUAAAUAAAUGUUCCAUCAUGCUGGAGGAUUUAUUAUGUUCUGUUAUUCAUAAUUUAUAUGGUGUGUUUCAUUUGUUACGAAGUUAAAAUCCAUGCUUCUGAAGUUGGUAUCAUGCGGUCUGGAUAGCCACCAUCUAAAUAGACCAGAUAGAAUGCAGAACAACUCAGCCCGUGAUAAAGUCAAUUAUGUCAAGUGUAUAGAUAUAUGAGUCUUUAACCAUUGAAUUUCAUUAUAUGCACCACUUAGUUUCUAAGGUUAGAAAUAAUUAAGUUAUGUUUGUUUUAGUUUGACAUGAUUCUCCUUUAUUAUUUAAUAGAUGUAAUUGGUCUAAUGACUGGAAUUUCUGCUGAAAAAGAGUAUGUUAUGUUAGGGAUGGUAAGAUAACAAAAAUGGUUGUGAUUGAGGUUAUGGAUUCAAGGUAUAAGUUUUUCAUGCUGCCCAUUUUGAUAUGAUGUUUAUGUGUUCAUAGGCUUAUUUGUGUGUUUUAUUUGCUUGAAUAGUGGGAAAUGUGAGUGUGCUCUAUUUGGUGACUAUGUUGAUGAUUUGAAUAAGAAGAUGGGAAAAUCUUCUAAAGGCCUUCCUGCAUGAGUUUUAUGAAUGGGUUAGCUAUUGACUGGAAGAAUUUAUGUUUUCCUGCAUACUUUUGUAAGUUG